rnacentral:rRNA from 1 species
CAUGCAGUCGAGCGAUGAAGCACCUUCGGGUGUGAAUUAGCGGCGAACGGGUGAGGAACACGUGAGAAAUCUGCCUUCAACACUGGGAUAACUCCGGGAAACCGGGGCUAAUACCGGAUAUGAAACCUGCGGGCAUCCGCGGGUUUGGAAAGUUUUUCGGUUGAAGAUGAUCUCGCGGCCUAUCAGCUUGUUGGUGAGGUAAUGGCUCACCAAGGCGACGACGGGUAGCCGGCCUGAGAGGGCGACCGGCCACACUGGGACUGAGACACGGCCCAGACUCCUACGGGAGGCAGCAGUGGGGAAUAUUGGGCAAUGGAGGAAACUCUGACCCAGCGACGCCGCGUGAGGGAUGAAGGCCUUCGGGUUGUAAACCUCUUUCAGUAGGGAAGAAGCGAAAGUGACGGUACCUACAGAAGAAGCACCGGCUAACUAUGUGCCAGCAGCCGCGGUAAUACAUAGGGUGCAAGCGUUGUCCGGAAUUAUUGGGCGUAAAGAGCUCGUAGGUGGUUCGAUACGUCGGAUGUGAAAAUCAGGGGCUCAACCCCUGACCUGCAUCCGAUACGGUCGAGCUAGAGUUUGGUAGGGGAGACUGGAAUUCCUGGUGUAGCGGUGGAAUGCGCAGAUAUCAGGAGGAACACCGAUGGCGAAGGCAGGUCUCUGGGCCAAUACUGACACUGAGGAGCGAAAGCGUGGGGAGCGAACAGGAUUAGAUACCCUGGUAGUCCACGCCGUAAACGGUGGGCGCUAGUUGUGCGAACCUUCCACGGUUUGUGCGACGCAGCUAACGCAUUAAGCGCCCCGCCUGGGGAGUACGAUCGCAAGAUUAAAACUCAAAGGAAUUGACGG